rnacentral:rRNA from 1 species
GACGAACGCUGGCGGCGUGCCUAAUACAUGCAAGUAGAACGCUGAAGAGAGGAGCUUGCUCUUCUUGGAUGAGUUGCGAACGGGUGAGUAACGCGUAGGUAACCUGCCUUGUAGCGGGGGAUAACUAUUGGAAACGAUAGCUAAUACCGCAUAACAAUGGAUGACCCAUGUCAUUUAUUUGAAAGGGGCAAAUGCUCCACUACAAGAUGGACCUGCGUUGUAUUAGCUAGUAGGUGAGGUAACGGCUCACCUAGGCGACGAUACAUAGCCGACCUGAGAGGGUGAUCGGCCACACUGGGACUGAAACACGGCCCAGACUCCUACGGGAGGCAGCAGUAGGGAAUCUUCGGCAAUGGGGGCAACCCUGACCGAGCAACGCCGCAUGAGUGAAGAAGGUUUUCGGAUCGUAAAGCUCGGUUGUAAGUCAAGAACGAGUGUGAGAGUGGAAAGUUCACACUGUGACGGUAGCUUACCAGAAAGGGACGGCUAACUACGUG